GCUUACGACCACACCGGAAUGAGUACGCCUGAUCUCGUCUGAUCUCGGAAGCCAAGCAGGGUCGGGCCUGGUUAGUACAUGGAUUGGAGACUGCCUGGGAAUACCAGGUGCUGUAAGCU
ensembl:rRNA 5S_rRNA 5S ribosomal RNA